rnacentral:rRNA from 1 species
GACAGAGGUCUCGAGCGUUAGGCGGAAUCACUGGGCUUAAAGCGUGUGUAGGUGGAUGCCUAAGUACCUUGUGAAUCCCACGGCUUAACCGUGGAACUGCUUGGUAUACUGGGUGUCUUGAGCCAGCUAGGGGCUACCGGAACAAAUGGUGGAGCGGUGAAUGCGUAGAUAUCGAUUGGACGCCGACGGCGAAAGCAGCUGACUGGAGUGAUCUGACGCUGAGACACGAAAGCCAGGGGAG